CAUAACUUAAGUUACACAUGAUUUCUUCCAAGUGGUUUGGCUUGUUAAAAACAUCUUGCAUUAUGAUACAGGAAUUUGCUGGCUUUGUGUUUACAGAAGUACCUGACUAUGCCGGACUUUUGUGCAGCCUACGGAUGCUCUAAUCACCGCAGUCUGCAAACAAGAACCCGUGGGAUCACCUAUCACCUGUUUCCCAAAACCGAAGAGAGGAGGAGGAGUUUUUGCUUAUUGUUUUGUUUCCACUUUAGAAGUGAGAUUUUCUUUCCUUUUGUAUAGUACUGGGCAACUCUCUUUUGGAGACCCGUUGUGUCAGAUAGUAACAGUUUGACCCGUUGUUGGGCCAAGCUGUUUUGUGCAUAUCAUUUUACUUACUUGCAGUUACAAAUAAACUGCUGGUAACACAUACCAAUUCUACUCUGGUCGUGUCGUUUCCCUUUGUACCCCUCGCCAAGAGGGAACGUAACAACAUGUGUUACGUGCCGUAGUGGGUGCUUGUGUGUCUCCCUCUCUUUCCCCCUGAUGUUUCUUCUUCUUCUUUGUUUAAUGGCGAAUCGCUACCACUAGGAGCAUAUAUCGCCACCUACUAUGUAUUUAUUAAAUCUUCAUGUUCCAUGAGACGCAGCACUAUGUUCCCCACAUAUGUUUAUGUUUGCUCAGUCUAAUAAACCCAUAACAUGGUUGUGAAAGAAUACCAAA